GGCCCGUUGGUCAAGCGGUUAAGACACCGCCCUUUCACGGCGGUAACACGGGUUCGAAUCCCGUACUGGUCACCA
rnacentral:tRNA from 2 species